rnacentral:rRNA from 1 species
GAUGAACGCUGGCGGCGUGCCUAAUACAUGCAAGUCGAGCGAACGGACGAGAAGCUUGCCUCUCUGAUGUUAGCGGCGGGCGGGUGAGUAACACGUGGAUAACCUACCUAUAAUACUGGGAUAACUUCGGGAAACGGGCGCUAAUACCGGAUAAUAUUUUGAACCGCAUGGUUCAAAAGUGAAUGACGGUCUUGCUGUCACUUAUAGAUGUAUCCGCGCUGCAUUAGCUAGUUGGUAAGGUAACGGCUUACCAAGGCACCGAUGCAUAGCCGACCGGAGAGGGGGAUCGGCCACACGGGAACUGAGACACGGUCCAGACUCCUACGGGAGGCAGCAGUAGGGAAUCUUGCGCAAUGGGCGAAAGCCUGACGGAGCAACGCAGCGUGAGUGAUGAAGGUCGUCGGAUCGUAAAACUCUGUUAUUAGGGAAGAACAUAUGUGUAAGUAACUGUGCACAUCUUGACGGUACCUAAUCAGAAAGCCACGGCUAACUACGUG